AAAAUAGCGGGUCCUCAACGAGGAUGUCUGAAACCCUUGAAUAUAUAACUAUGUUGCUUUGGCGGGCCGCCUUUCGGCGUUGGCCUUGGGCUGACUGUGCCCGCCAGAGGACCAAAACUCUUUUGUUUAGUGGUGUCUGAGUACUAUAUAAUAGUUA
rnacentral:misc_RNA from 1 species